rnacentral:rRNA from 1 species
UACGGGGGGGGCAAGCGUUGUUCGGAAUUACUGGGCGUAAAGGGCUCGUAGGUGGCCAACUAAGUCAGACGUGAAAUCCCUCGGCUCAACCGGGGAACUGCGUCUGAUACUGGCGGGCUUGAAUCCGGGAGAGGGAUGCGGAAUUCCAGGUGUAGCGGUGAAAUGCGUAGAUAUCUGGAGGAACACCGGUGGCGAAGGCGGCAUCCUGGACCGGCAUUGACGCUGAGGCGCGAAAGCUAGGGGAGCAAACGGG